rnacentral:rRNA from 1 species
CGCACGGGUGAGUAACACGUAUGCAAUCCACCUGUAACAGGGGGAGUAACCCGGAGAAAAUCCGGACUAAUACCCCAUAAUAUGGGCGCUCCGCAUGGAGAGCCCAUUAAAGAGAGCAAUUUUGGUUACAGACGAGCAUGCGCUCCAUUAGCCAGUUGGCGGGGUAACGGCCCACCAAAGCGACGAUGGAUAGGGGUUCUGAGAGGAAGGUCCCCCACAUUGGAACUGAGACACGGUCCAA